rnacentral:rRNA from 1 species
UACAGAGGGUGCGAGCGUUAAUCGGAGUUACUGGGCGUAAAGGGCGCGUAGGCGGUUUUAAGGGUGUGAUGUGAAAGCCCUGGGCUUAACCUGGGAAGUGCAUCGCAAACCAUAAGACUGGAGUACAAGAGAGGGUGGCGGAAUUUCCGGUGUAGCGGUGAAAUGCGUAGAGAUCGGAAGGAACGUCGAUGGCGAAGGCAGCCGCCUGGCUUGAUACUGACGCUGAAGCGCGAAAGCGUGGGGAGCGAACAGG